UUUGAAAUCCAUUGAGCCGCUGUGUUUACUUUCUAACAGAAGUUACGACGGAAAAAAAGUCAAAGUUGGCACUUAGCUGCUGGCUACUCUAUGGAGUGAUUAUGUUACUGGAUUCGAUCGUCUGGACCUUUAUCAAUGUACCAACACCGUUUUUGUUGGAAUGUUAUUGAUCUGUGGAUUAAUAUCAUGCUUCUUAGGAAAUGGACCCAUCGUGCUAUAGCUCCUACGUCAGAUGACUCUGACGUGUUUCCGAUGACGGAAGUGUGGAUCUGUUUCCCCAGUGAGUUCCAUCACUCGUUUUACUUCAGCACACCACUGAGAGCCUGAGCGCUGAGCGAGUGGAUGUCUCACAGGGGAAGGAGGUUUUGAGAAGGCCUGAGGACAGGAGGGCUUCGCACAAACCUGCAAAUGAUACAGACAGGUGACCUUUGGUAAUUUCAUCAUGCUAACAGGACAUCUCCACGGGGAGAGGGAGCAAGUGCAUUAGGGUCACGGCUGUCGCCAUCAGAGACGUGAUGUGAGGAAAAGGCUGACUAAUGGGCAGAUCGAUAAUUUUGAAAAGGACAUUUCAAGGUCAUUAAAUGUUCAUGGGUGGUGACACUGGAGCUCAAUCAGUCAGGGAACACCAAGGCUAGAAACAUAAUUAGUGACAGAAUUCUUAUGUUCCAGUUUGAACUUUAAUUACAUUUUGAAAUUCUUAAUUUUUGCAUUAAUUAGGUCACACUGCAUUUAUUGUUCCCAAAAGGUUUUAAAUUGAGUUGUCAUGAGAUUGUCUGCAAAAGCUAAUUUAUUUCAGAAAGUUUUUUUUUUCUUUAAGUCCAAGUUAUUGUCAUGAGUCUAGGGCCUAGACUCUAGACCUUAAACUCUUUUUUGUAGUCUUUUGAUUAUGGACUCUUUUUGUUUAUUGACUUUUACCUGUGUUUUCCUUGUGUUUAGAUUUGUGUUCAUUUUGUGUGUCCAAGUUUACUCCUUACUUCCUGUCAGGGGCGUCGUUAGGCCUG